GGAUAUGGGGGUCUAUGGGGCAGGUAUGGAGGGCUAUGGGAUGAAUAUGGGGCAGAUAUAGGGCAGUUAUGGGGUGGCUGUGGGGGCCAUGGGGUCUAUGGGGCAGAUACGGAGGGCUAUGGGAUGGAUAUGGGUGGCUAUGGGGGUCUAUGGGGCAGGUAUGGAGGGCUAUGGGAUGGAUAUGGGUGGCUAUGGGGGUCUAUGGGGCAGAUACGGAGGGCUAUGGGAUGGCUAUGGGUGUCUAUGGGGCAGAUACGGAGGGCUAUGGGAUGGCUAUGGGAUGGCUAUGGGGCAGCUAUGGGGCAGCUAUGGGUCAUCUCUAGGUGAUGUCUAUGUGACCCAUCACUGAGUGCAGCAGACCAUGGCCGCAUCGUUGAGGCCGGUGUCAUCCUGUGACCGUUGCGGUGCCUCCACCCUGGUCCUGAUGCCGCAGAUCCCCACAUGUGUGGGGCACGGCUGGCUCCAAUUGCCCCAUUGCCCCCGAGCUCCGCCCCCCCCGUCCAACACGGUCCCGUCCGAGCACAUGAACGACGCGUCGUUGGCCGCUGUGUCGUCCCG